CCAUGUCCAACAGGCUUCCCCUUACAAUGUGAGGGUCCCUAAUGACCAGGCCUUGAAGAGAAUUAUGGGUGUAAUUUAUCAAAAUCUUGCUGAUCAUAUCCUGUUUUAGACCCUUAGACUUCACGGCCGUUAAAACUCGUUCGAAGAACUCAAGAUUAAGAACCGACAGUGACUUUCCCCACCAGUCAGAUGGCGUUUCCGGUUCGAUGUUUGGCAUAGUUUUCAUUGGAAAGUUGUGAUCAAGUUUAAGUAAGCCUGAAGCAAGCUGCUCUUUGCAUGCAUUAUUGGCAAUUGCAUUGAUAAGCCUAUUAACCAAGUUGAUCUCUUCGGAUACAGGCGAGAGGCAUUCGCAACGGUGAAGAACAGAUAUCGAGUUUGAUAUGUUCGGGAGUACCGUGUCCUUCAGAUACGCUUCUGUACG
rnacentral:lncRNA from 1 species